rnacentral:rRNA from 1 species
GACAGAGGGUGCAAACGUUGUUCGGAAUUACUGGGCGUAAAGCGUGUGUAGGCGGCUCUGCAAGUCGGAUGUGAAAGCCCUGGGCUCAACCUAGGAAGUGCAUUCGAAACUGCAGAGCUCGAGUCCUGGAGAGGAAGGCGGAAUUCUCGGUGUAGAGGUGAAAUUCGUAGAUAUCGAGAGGAACACCGGUGGCGAAGGCGGCCUUCUGGACAGUGACUGACGCUGAGACACGAAAGCGUGGGGAGCAAACAGG